rnacentral:rRNA from 1 species
CCUACGGGUGGCAACAGUGAGGAAUAUUGGUCAAUGGGCGAGAGCCUGAACCAGCCAAGUCGCGUGAGGGAGUACUGCCCUAUGGGUUGUAAACCUCUUUUGUCGGGGAGCAAUGCCGGGCACGUGUGCCCGGAGGGAGAGUACCCGCAGAAUAAGCAUCGGCUAACUCCGUGCCAGCAGCCGCGGUAAUACGGGGGAUGCGAGGGUUAUCCGGAUUUAUUGGGUUAAAGGGGUGCGUAGGCGGAUUUUUAAGUCAAGGGUAAAAUGUCCGGGCUAAACCCGGGCCUGCCGUUGAAACUGGGGAUCUUGAGUGGGCGAGAAGUAUGUGGAAUGCGUGGUGUAGCGGUGAAAUGCAUAGAUAUCACGCAGAACUCCGAUUGCGAAGGCAGCAUACCGGCGCCCGACUGACGCUGAGGCACGAAAGCGUGGGGAUCGAACAGGAUUAGAUACCCGAGUAGUC